UCUGUUUGGGGAGCUAGUGUCUACGGUUCCAACUCCCAAGGUUUCCUCAUCCUCUAUUAUCACUUCUAUCAUAUCUCUCACAUCUCAGUUUCUCCGCCCCAAUCUAGUUUCUCAUCGUCCUCCUUGUACUCUCAGAUUCAUCGUUGAAACCCUAAGUUUAUACAUCAUAACUAACUCGAAAGCAUUCUUUUCUCCAUGAAAACUCUGCAUCUGUUUACAUCGAUGGAAGAUUUGAAUCCACCAAAUCUAUUUACAAUCUGAAAUACUGCCGGUAAUGAAAGAGAAGGAUCAAGCGAUUUUAAAAUCAGAUGUUCUAACUCCCGGGUUUUAAUGUAUGAGUUGUUAUAUCUUUUGGAUCAGAUGAUUAAGCCAUUGAACAAGAUAUUGAAGGAGGAGGAAUCAGUAGUCUUACAAAUCAAAAUCUAAGAGGUCAUUGUUCAUUCCUGUAAAAUCCUAAAACAGUCCAGGUAGUGAAAAGUAUUUGGGAUGAACAGGUUCAGCCAUGUCACGGGAAACAAAUUCUAAGCUGUAGAAGAUGGGGGUUUGCUGUUUGAUUGUGAUAUUUUAGAUUACAGAGUUGGGUUGAGGCGCAGAUGGUGGUAUUGAGAAUGGAAACAUAAAUGGGUUUGAUGGAGUCCAGGGGUUGAGUUGUUAAUUGAAAUUGGUGAUGUUCUUGAGAUUUAUAAGGAGAGAAUGGAGAUGGUGGUUAUUAUGCUGAAGUUGCAGGUGCCGAUGAUGGAUUUAUAUGGAUUAUUGGCCUAUCCUGAGGUUGAUUGAUUCAUAGAUGGUGGUUGAGUUAGGUUAACAAGGUAUGGUGGUGGAGACAGGAAGAUAAGAAAGGUUCUGAGAUAGUUGACAGAUGAGAAUGGAUUUGUGUUGGUGGUUCUGGGUGAGUUUCUUACCAUACAAGACAGCCAAGUAUGUGCUUUCCAGGGAGAGUUGGUGAUAAUCUGGUUGGUCAUUCGACUUUUGUAUGUGUUCUCAAUGUUACUAGUUUUCAGUUACGGGUUUUCAUGAAUGGAUGAAAGUUGUGCUUGAAAGGGUUUUUCCUGCCAUUUAUUUGUAUGUUUUGUUUCUUUGGUGGUGCUUCUUGUUCGGUUGGUUGUAGGUGUAUGGUUAUGGUUUAACAUGUUUACACUGUGAUGCAGGCUUAUGACUGAAGAGUUGAGAAACUUUUUGGAGUUCAAUUUACCCUAAGUUAAAGAAGGAAAGAAACCUUAGUUUAGUCUUGGAGUUGCUGAACCAAAAUUUGGGUCAGAUAUCUAUGAAGAAACUAAGGUUCCAUGCCAAUGCAAUGAAUUUAUUCUUGAACUUCUCCGCGCUAUCCGCUUUCAUUUGGAAAGGUUCAUUAGUGACCUUAAGCUCAUCCUUUUGGAUAAGGGUUGGGUUGGAUAACAGUUACAGCGGAGCUAUGGUGAAGUUCAGUGUCAACCGAAUUGGUACUCUGACACAUUUUUUUUGUUUUGAACUCAACACUGUUCUGAACUGUUGGUACUUGUGGCGAUUUCCUUAAAUGACCGCGAAUUUGGAUAUCAAAUGAAGAAGAAUUUGCAGCAUCAACUAUUCAACUUGCCAUGGUGCGUAACCGACUACCCAUAAAUAUAUUCUACUUCAAGUCGGGCGUCUAUGUCUAUUUUUACUGUAUUUAAUUACUUGCUUGUUCAAAAGUUAAUAUAUGCUAUAAUGUUAUCAUAUGAGAUUUGAGCAGGUUAUUUGUUGUUGAUCUAGGAUUUUGGUUCUCCUUAUUCAAGAUUUCUAUUUUUAGCAUGUUAAGAAUUUGAUAUCCUGCGCCCCUGCAUCUGGAAAAGAGCUGAAUGCGAACUCAGAAAGGAAGUUUCAAAAUUUAAAACUCUUCCAUGAUGUUCCCAUUUUGUACUCAGAACGUCAUUGUUUGAUCUCUUUUAACACUAUCAUUGCAGGCAAGUAUGAAGCUGCUCGUUCACUAGUAUUUCCAUUGUUCGAUCUUUGUUCAGGCAGAUGCGAUUUGUUGUAUCAUGUAUUGAGUUAAAAAGUUUCAGGCUGAUGCUGAAACUCACAAAGUUUAUGCACAGAUGACUCCUCAACCUGUAAAUUUAAUGUAAGAGAUGAGAAAUCACAACUAUCGACACUCAUGAUUAAUGACAUCAAGUGAUAGCAUGCAUAUAGGAAUUACCGCUGCAUAUGCCCAUACGGCUGCAAGAAAUUGUCAGUUUACUCUCUUUUACAACCCAAGUGUAAUACAAUAAUUGCCACAUUAUUAACCGUAUAUCUAUAUCCCUUUUGAUGACCAUAAUCAUGUCUGGAUUUGGAAAUUUCAUUGGUGAAUUUCAUGUUUGUUGUCAGUUCCCUUGGUUUGAUUAGUUUAGUUUCUCUUCGCAAGGCUAACCUGCCCGGGUGGGAUGACAACAUGAACGUUGACUAACAUCUUUCGAACAAACACAGGCUUGAGCUUGCUGGGUAGUGGACCUGAUUAGAGCUGGCAUGUCAGUGAUUGAAGGCAUAAAUGGUGAAGUCUUCCCUUCAACUUAGUGUUGCAUCUUUCUAGUUGUUAAUCUUUUAGUGGGAACAUAAAUUUUAGUACUUGAGGUUCCGAGAUUUGGAAAUUAUUUUAGAUAGUCAAAGUUGUAAACCGUUUAACACUUUCCAAUACAAAUUCAAUUUAUUUUUCUGAUUAAUACAAUUUUGAAGUAAAAA